rnacentral:rRNA from 2 species
AGAGUUUGAUCCUGGCUCAGGACGAACGCUGGCGGCGUGCUUAACACAUGCAAGUCGAGCGAUGAAGCUUCCUUCGGGAAGUGGAUUAGCGGCGGACGGGUGAGUAACACGUGGGUAACCUGCCUCAAAGUGGGGGAUAGCCUUCCGAAAGGAAGAUUAAUACCGCAUAAUAUAAGAGAAUCGCAUGAUUUUUUUAUCAAAGAUUUAUUGCUUUGAGAUGGACCCGCGGCGCAUUAGCUAGUUGGUAAGGUAACGGCUUACCAAGGCAACGAUGCGUAGCCGACCUGAGAGGGUGAUCGGCCACAUUGGAACUGAGACACGGUCCAGACUCCUACGGGAGGCAGCAGUGGGGAAUAUUGCGCAAUGGGGGAAACCCUGACGCAGCAACGCCGCGUGGGUGAUGAAGGUCUUCGGAUUGUAAAGCCCUGUUUUCUAGGACGAUAAUGACGGUACUAGAGGAGGAAGCCACGGCUAACUACGUGCCAGCAGCCGCGGUAAUACGUAGGUGGCGAGCGUUGUCCGGAUUUACUGGGCGUAAAGGGUGCGUAGGCGGAUGUUUAAGUGGGAUGUGAAAUCCCCGGGCUUAACCUGGGGGCUGCAUUCCAAACUGGAUAUCUAGAGUGCAGGAGAGGAAAGCGGAAUUCCUAGUGUAGCGGUGAAAUGCGUAGAGAUUAGGAAGAACACCAGUGGCGAAGGCGGCUUUCUGGACUGUAACUGACGCUGAGGCACGAAAGCGUGGGUAGCAAACAGGAUUAGAUACCCUGGUAGUCCACGCCGUAAACGAUGGAUACUAGGUGUAGGGGGUAUCAACUCCCCCUGUGCCGCAGUUAACACAAUAAGUAUCCCGCCUGGGGAGUACGGUCGCAAGAUUAAAACUCAAAGGAAUUGACGGGGGCCCGCACAAGCAGCGGAGCAUGUGGUUUAAUUCGAAGCAACGCGAAGAACCUUACCUGGACUUGACAUCCCUUGCAUAGCCUAGAGAUAGGUGAAGCCCUUCGGGGCAAGGAGACAGGUGGUGCAUGGUUGUCGUCAGCUCGUGUCGUGAGAUGUUAGGUUAAGUCCUGCAACGAGCGCAACCCUUGUUAUUAGUUGCUACCAUUAAGUUGAGCACUCUAAUGAGACUGCCUGGGUAACCAGGAGGAAGGUGGGGAUGACGUCAAAUCAUCAUGCCCCUUAUGUCCAGGGCUACACACGUGCUACAAUGGUAGGUACAAUAAGACGCAAGACCGUGAGGUGGAGCAAAACUUAUAAAACCUAUCUCAGUUCGGAUUGUAGGCUGCAACUCGCCUACAUGAAGCUGGAGUUGCUAGUAAUCGCGAAUCAGAAUGUCGCGGUGAAUACGUUCCCGGGCCUUGUACACACCGCCCGUCACACCAUGAGAGCUGGUAACACCCGAAGUCCGUGAGGUAACCGUAAGGAGCCAGCGGCCGAAGGUGGGAUUAGUGAUUGGGGUGAAGUCGUAACAAGGUAGCCGUAGGAGAACCUGCGGCUG